rnacentral:rRNA from 1 species
GACGAACGCUGGCGGCGUGCUUAACACAUGCAAGUCGAACGGAAAGGCCCUGCUUUUGUGGGGUGCUCGAGUGGCGAAAGGGUGAGUAACACGUGAGUAACCUGCCCUUGACUUUGGGAUAACUUCAGGAAACUGGGGCUAAUACCGGAUAGGAGCUCCUGCUGCAUGGUGGGGGUUGGAAAGUUUCGGCGGUUGGGGAUGGACUCGCGGCUUAUCAGCUUGUUGGUGGGGUAGUGGCUUACCAAGGCUUUGACGGGUAGCCGGCCUGAGAGGGUGACCGGCCACAUUGGGACUGAGAUACGGCCCAGACUCCUACGGGAGGCAGCAGUGGGGAAUAUUGCACAAUGGGCGGAAGCCUGAUGCAGCAACGCCGCGUGCGGGAUGACGGCCUUCGGGUUGUAAACCGCUUUCGCCUGUGACGAAGCGUGAGUGACGGUAAUGGGUAAAGAAGCACCGGCUAACUACGUG